AGCAGCCGCGGUAAUUCCAGCUCCAAUAGCGUAUAUUAAAGUUGUUGCAGUUAAAAAGCUCGUAGUUGAAUUUCGGGGUUAGUAGGUUUGUCGUGCCACUGGUACGUACUGGUCUCACUGAUUCCUCCUUCCUGAUGAACUGUAAUGCCAUUAAUUUGGUGUUGCAGGGAAACUGGACUGUUACUUUGAAAAAAUUAGAGUGUUUAAAGCAAGCUAACGCUUGAAUACAUUAGCAUGGGAUAAUGAAAUAGGACGUUCGAUCCUAUUUUGUUGGUUUCUAGGAUUGACGUAAUGAUUAAUAGGGAUAGUUGGGGGCAUUAGUAUUCAAUUGUCAGAGGUGAAAUUCUUGGAUUUAUUGAAGACUAACUACUGCGAAAGCAUUUGCUAAGGAUGUUUUCAUUAAUCAAGAACGAAAGUUAGGGGAUCGAAGACGAUCAGAUACCGUCGUAGUCUUAACCAUAAACUAUGCCGACUAGGGAUCGGAUGAUGUUAAUUUUUUAAUGACUCAUUCGGCGCCUUA
rnacentral:rRNA from 1 species